ACUCAAAGGAAUAGACGGGGGCUCACACAAGCGGUGGAGCAUGUGGCUUAAUUCGAGGCUACGCGCAGAACCUUAUCCCGGGCUUGACAUGCACGGAUUAGCCGGCGGAAACGUCGGUGACGCCGCGAGGUGGAACGUGCACAGGUGCUGCAUGGCUGUCGUCAGCUCGUGUCGUGAGAUGUUGGGUUCAGUCCCGUAACGAGCGAAACCCCUGUGACUAGUUGCCAGCGGUUCGGCCGGGCACUCUAGUCAGACCGCCGGCGUCAAGCCGGAGGAAGGCGGGGACGACGUCAAGUCCUCAUGGCCCUUAUGCCCGGGGCUGCACACGUGCUACAAUGGGCCGGACAGAGCGUCGCAGAGCCGCGAGGCCGAGCUAAUCGCAAAAACCGGUCCCCAGUUCGGAUUGCGGGCUGCAACCCGCCCGCAUGAAGCCGGAAUCGCUAGUAAUCGCGGAUCAGCACUGCCGCGGUGAAUGGGUUCCUGAGCCUUGUACACACCGCCCGU
rnacentral:rRNA from 1 species